GAAAUGCGAUAAGUAAUGUGAAUUGCAGAAUUCAGUGAAUCAUCGAAUCUUUGAACGCACCUUGCGCUCCUUGGUAUUCCUUGGAGCAUGCCUGUUUGAGUAUCAUGAAAUCUUCAAAGUAAAUCUUUUGUUAACUCAAUUGGUUUCUACUUUGGUAUUGGAGGUCUUUGCAGCUUCACACCUGCUCCUCUUUGUUCAUUAGCUGGAUCUCAGUGUUAUGCUUGGUUCCACUCGGCGUGAUAAGUUAUCUAUCGCUGAGGACACUGUAAAAGGUGGCCAAGGUAAAUGCAGAUGAACCGCUUCUAAUAGUCCAUUGACUUGGACAAUACUUUUAUGAUCUGACCUCGAAUCAGGUAGGAAUACCCGCUGAACUUAAGC
rnacentral:misc_RNA from 1 species